rnacentral:lncRNA from 1 species
GGGGGACGACUGUGGAGAGACAGAGAAGUGCGAGCCUGGGGCUGAGCGGAGACGGGAUCCCCUUUUUGACCCUCCAGGGAACAGGCGCCUGGGGUGAGAAGCUUUAUGGCAUAUCCACUUAAUGGAGGUGUUUGGGAAAUGAACUAGCAACUGCAUUACAUCAGAGCUCCACAACACGUAAUUAUUUCCAGAAGACUUCAACUGUGAUUACAUCCAUGUGAUAAAAUGCCAUAUUCCGAUAUGAUUCUUUUAUAAUUGCAGCCUCUGAGAGAUCUGAUUUCUUCACUAAUGAAUUGAAAAAAAUGACAUCAGGUUCCUAGACUGAUUGGCCUGCGUGGGAUCAGGUGUCUUAGGACCCAAACAGAAGCAUUGGAGUACGUCUUCCCGGAAGGAGAAGUUAAGCAUGGUGUUUUUAUGUGUACUAAUAAGAUGCUCAGAAAAGCUUGUUUGAUGUCCAAGAAACUUCACAGGAGAAACAAAAAGACACAAUCUUUUAUGGGUGAC